AACCUAGCACACCUGCGGUGUGUACCUGCGGAAGGAUCAUUACAGAGUUCGUGCCCUCGCGGGUAGAUCUCCCACCCUUGUGUAUUCUCUACAUCUUGUUGCUUUGGCAGGCCGUUGGUUCGCCAACCACCGGCUCGCGGGCUGGUGCGUGCCUGCCAGAGGACCUCUCAAACUCGGUUUGUUAGUGUCGUCUGAGUACCAUAACAAUCGUUAAAACUUUCAGCAAUGGAUCUCAGAUCG
rnacentral:misc_RNA from 1 species